UACGGAGGGUGCGAGCGUUGUCCGGAAUCAUUGGGCGUAAAGGGCGCGUAGGUGGCCCGGUCAGUUCGUGGUGAAAGCGCGGGGCUCAACCCUGCGUCGGCCAUGAAUACUGCCGCGGCUGGAGCACUGUAGAGGCAGGCGGAAUUCCGGGUGUAGCGGUGGAAUGCGUAGAGAUCCGGAAGAACACCGGUGGCGAAGGGCGGCCUGCUGGGCAGUUGCUGGACACUGAGGCGCGACAGCGUGGGGAGCAAACAGG
rnacentral:rRNA from 1 species